rnacentral:rRNA from 1 species
CCUACGGGGGGCUGCAGUGAGGAAUAUUGGUCAAUGGACGAGAGUCUGAACCAGCCAAGUAGCGUGAAGGAUGACUGCCCUAUGGGUUGUAAACUUCUUUUAUAUGGGAAUAAAAUGUUCCACGUGUGGGAUUUUGUAUGUACCAUAUGAAUAAGGAUCGGCUAACUCCGUGCCAGCAGCCGCGGUAAUACGGAGGAUCCGAGCGUUAUCCGGAUUUAUUGGGGUUAAAGGGAGCGUAGGUGGAUUGUUAAGUCCGUUGUGAAAGUUUGGGGCUCAACCGUAAAAUUGCAGUUGAAACUGGCAGUCUAGAGUACAGUAGAGGUGGGCGGAAUUCGUGGUGUAGCGGUGAAAUGCUUAGAUAUCACGAAGAACUCCGAUUGCGAAGGCAGCUCACUGGACUGCAACUGACACUGAGGCUCGAAAGUGUGGGUAUCAAACAGGAUUAGAUACCCUAGUAGUC